rnacentral:lncRNA from 1 species
CUUUAAACUUACUCCCCUCCCUCCCACCGCGUGCACACACACACACACAGAGGAGAGAGAGAUUGAUAAGAUUGAUUCACUUUAAGGGACGAGCUUGUGAUUAUGGGGGCUGCCAAGCCUGAAAUCUGCAGGACAGGCCAGCAGGCUGGAAAUUCAGGUGCGAGCUGAGGUUGUAGCUUUGAGUCAGAAGGCUGUCUGGAGGCAGAAUUCCUUUUUCCCUGGGGCAUCUGAGUCUUUUCUCCCAUGGCCUCCAAAUGACUGGAUGUGACCCACCCUGCUGUGGAGGAUGGAGGGUGAUCUGUUUUCAGUCCACUCAUUUAGACGUUCAUCUCAUUUGAAAAAGGCCUUCACGGAAGCAUGUGACCGGCAUUUGACCAAACAGCUGAGCACCGCAGCCUGGCCACAUUGACAUUUAACGUUAGCCAUGGCAGAGCCCAUUAAAUCGGCAUGUGGGGCUCCGUGCAGAGCCACAACACCCUGGCUCUGACCUGCCGCUGAUGGCUGUUAGCCUGGUGAUCUCCAACAGGGCCGCUGUUUCUCCAAGAGUCCAGAGAGAAAGGGAGAGAGCAUCCUCAACAGACUCCUCGACGGUCUGAUGGCAAGGACCUUGGAAAUCACCCCACCUGGCGGUCUCACUUCACAGAUGAAGGCGGUGGAGGCUCAGAGAGGCACGUGCCUGCCAAGUCUGGCAUGGGAUGGUCGCCGGUCCAGGACCGGGGCCCAGGCCUCCUGCCCAACAUCAAUAAAUAGGACAGAAAUUACUGUGAAAGUCUAUCUCCUCCUCCACUGCUUCACAUCUUUUCC